CCUUGUUAUAAGCAACAGGGGACGUGCCAGCUAAAGUCUCCUAGGACAAUGCCACCUCUGGCAAUGGCAAACCUGUAAGAUUCUGCUUCUUGGAUUUAGAGAGUUCAGAGCCUAGGUCUCUGAAGGUCCAUAUAGAGCUCUGGACAGGUGGAAGAAGACUGAAGGGUAGAUGAAGAGAAGAGCUGUCUGGAGUCAGGUUUUUGUAAGUGGAAAUGAGGGGAUGCUCCAAGCAACAAGGACAGUUUUCAGACACUGGAAGACUCAAGGUAGUCUGGCCCCAUCCACCCCUAUGGCCCAAAGCAAGAUGGAGAGAAGAAACCUUUGACAAAAAUGACAGCAGCCUUGCCUGGAGUCCAGUUUGCAUGCUGUGAGCUGGGUAUCAUUUCACAGGAGCCCAGGAACUCUGAGGCUCUGACCUGGGUUACGUGCACUGUGGGAUAUGCCUUGGACCUCUGGGUGGUUAUAUAACACACACCGUGCAGUCCCACAGUCAGCCAGGCCCCUCUGCCUCCUCCACUCUGCCAUCUGUCUUUCUGCUGUUUCCUUUAUAUAGAAGAGGCUGCUGUGCAGCCAAAAAAAAAGAAGGCCAGCCCUGUGGUAAAUUCCCCACAUUCCUUCCUCUCAGAAAAAUAAAUAACCCCGGGAGAAAAAAACACAGGAGGAAUGAUAAUGACGGCACAAGCAUGCUGGCACUUGGCACUUGGGCUACUCACUGGGGUAGACAGCAUGGGAACCCAGCACAGCUUCCUGCCUCUCCUGAGAUGGGGCCUGUUGGUGCCUCUCACAGGGGUUUAAGACUAUACUGGGGCUGGGGCUUGCUCACAGAGGUGCUGGGAGUCCCCGUGGUGUGGCAGCCACAAGUAGUCACCACAGCAAACCUGUCAGAGGCUAGGUGCGCUUGUUCCUCAAGUAGCCACCCACCCACCACAUCCAUGCAUGGGGUCUUCCUC